rfam:Triticum aestivum genome assembly, contig: Triticum_aestivum_CS42_TGACv1_scaffold_113592_2AS
CUACUACUCCCUCCGUCCCGAAUUAGUUGUCUCAGAUUUGUCUAGAUACGGAUGUAUCUAGACACUUUUUAGAUGCAUCCGUAUCUAGACAAAUCUGAGACAACUAAUUCGGGACGGAGGUAAUAGUAU